rnacentral:tRNA from 1 species
GGAGAGGUGCCAGAGUGGUCGAAUGGGCUUGAUUCGAAAUCAAGAGUACGGUUAUCCGUACCGUGGGUUCGAAUCCCACCCUCUCCGCCA